rfam:Pan troglodytes isolate Yerkes chimp pedigree #C0471 (Clint) chromosome 1, whole genome shotgun sequence.
UGCCUGGUUGUCUAGUGGCUAGGAUUCGGUGCUGAAAGCGCCACGGCCCGGGUUCGAUUCCCGGUCAGGGAA